rnacentral:lncRNA from 1 species
GACUUCAAACCACUCCCUAAAAUUCUUUCCCAAUUUGCUGUUCCCUGAAGGUCCAAAAGGAAUCAGUAACAUUUAAGGACGUGACUGUGCAUUUUACGCAGGAAGAGUGGGGAAACCUGGACCCUUCUCAGAAGGAGUUGUACAAGGAUGUGAUGUUAGAGAAUUACAAGAACCUUGUCUUCCUAGGUAAGAAGAGCUGUCCUCUGUGACUCAGAUUGUUUCCAUAGUUGUGUCUUUCUUAAUACACCUAACUAAAUCAGAAUUUCCUAUGUGGUAAGUAUUUGAAAAUUAGUGUUUGCUAUUCGGAAACUAGUUUGCUAAUUCUCUUGUGGCCAUUGAUGGAACAGAAGUUGCUCCUUGAUCUCAAGUGAAAGGCCUUAACUGUGUACAGCUUGAAACUGGGUGGUUGUUUGUGUUGCCUCUGAGUUGUGCUUUCCCAUUCUCUGUCCUUUCAGGUCAAAGAUUCUCCCCUGUAGUUCCAUUACAGGUACCUGAGGACAAGAAAGUUUCAUCCUCUUACUGGGAGUGGUUCAAAACUAAUUUUCUUUGGGAUCACUAGUCUGUAUAUCUCAGGAAUGCAAUGCAGUGGAUUUUUUCAGAGGUUCUCUAUACCAUCCUUUGGUCUUUCUUAGCAUGCCUCUUCACCCUACAUAAUAAGUUACUGGUGAUAGAAUAACAGACCUCUGUCUUCAAUGCAUUUCUGUUUCUAAUGAGCAGGACUUACAGUUUGGAAACCAGAUGUGAUCUCCCAUUUGGAAGAAGGAGAAACUCCUUGGAUACAGGACCCAGAGGUACUUUGGAGCACCUCUCCAGAUUGGGUGACUAGGCCUGGAACUAAGCAGUUAACAGAGAAAAGACUUAGAAGGGAUGGUUCCUAUGUCUUUAAAUUGGGAGAAGCAUUGAAAUAUUAUGUCAGUUUGGAGAAGCAGGAGCAGAACCGUGAGGAGAAACAUUCUAGGUAGCUGGAGAGAUUGCAAGGUUAAAAUACAGCACCAAACCAAUGGGACUUUGCAGCUGACAGAUAUGCAGAAUAAAGGCACACCAGUUGCAGCCAUCAAGAGCACAAAGGAAAUGGAUAUCAAGAAAGGGGUAAAUUUACAUGUUACCUGCUUUGAUGUACAUCUCAGUUUUCUUUUUAAACUCCCCAGCCUGGUUCAAGAAGUAAAACUUAAAAGAGAUUUUAUUACUAUUACUAUUUUGCAAGCCUCACCAUGUUCCAUGACUUCAUGGACCAUCAGUGCAGAAUUUUUGAGAACUACAAAGUUUUCUAAUGUAUUAUCCUAUGUGGAAUACAGGUUGGGUCUAAUAAUCAUGAAUUUUCCAUCAGUGGAGGUUAAAUUAAUGAGGUUUUACUAUAUUGAUAGUUUAGUAAGCACAAAUAAAUACUAGUCCUCUAUAAUGCAAAUAUUAAUAAUUUUAAUAACAGGGGCACAUAUUCCAAGAAGGGAGAUUAUUCUGUAAACCUCCACAGGAAGAAAAAUUUAAGUUAUUAAUUCAAGAUGAUAAAGAAUAUUGGUCUAAGUAGAAUCUGAUCAUUACAAAAUGGUCAGAACAUGAGGACAGAAAGUAAAAACCUAAUCAUGAGAAUUUUUUAUACACUGCCAAAUACCUAAAAGUAUCCGAAUUACUAAUUAAAUUUUUUUUUUAGUAUUUUGGCCAGAUGUUUGUCAUUUCUAGACACAAGCACCAAGUGCCUACUAGCAAAAAUGAAGCAAACUGUUUAGGAAAUUUGGUGCUAAAAAAACUCCAGAUGAUCCAGACAACUGUCUUAAUUCUUUACUUUACUAAUCCUUUACUUUACUUAGUCAAAGAAAAUUCAUUAAUGUUUUUAUAGCGAAAAACCAGGAAUGGUGUCCUUUCAAUUUGUGAGUUAGUUAACAAGCAUUUUAUUGAGGGUCCACCUGUGCCAGGCACUGUACUAAGUCUUGAUGUACAAAGAAUGGCAAAAACCCAGUCCCUUCUCUCAAGGAGCUAACAGUCUAGAAGGAGACAACAUCCAAACAACUAUACAGAAAAAGAUAUUUAGUUUAAACUGAGGGUAAUUUCAGGAGGAAGACACUAAGAUUGAGGAGGACUGGCAAGGUUUCUUGUAGAGUGCUGAGUCUUAGCUGAGUCUCAAGUGAAGCCAGUAGGUUUCAAGGACGGACAGAGUUCUAAGUAUGGGGAACAGCCAGUGAAAAUGCUCUUGGAUUCAAGAGAUCAAGUGUUUGAGGAACAGCAGUGAGGCUGUUGGAUCACAAAGUAUAUAGAGAGGAGUAAGGUGUAAAACACAGGAAAAGGAGGAAGGGGACAGGUUAGGAAAGGUGAUGAUGAAAAAAUAUAUAUAACAUGACUCCACAGACUAUUAGGAAUCAAAGAGCUUUGAAUUUAUUAAAAUGUGUAUUGCUUUUUUUUUUUAUUCUCAUUCUUCCUGUUCCCUGUCUCUUCAUCUUUCCUCCUCAAUUGCUGCCCUCAACCUAGAGGACUUCAGUGUACCUAUUAAUACUCCCUCAAACACCUUCACCUCCCAGUUCUUCAACAUACUCAUUCACCAUGACCUACUCUUCACCAUAUUUCAGCUACACACAAAGAUAGAGGGUUAUACCCUUGAUCUUCCCAUCACCCACAAAUAUAUCUCCUCCAUGUUCUAAAAUUCUGAAAUUCCCUUAUCUGAUCAUCAGCUGUUGGCUUUCAACUUUUCCCUCUUCCUUUCAAUACCAUCCCUGUUCUACAUCCACACCGUGAUCUCCAGUCCCUCAGUCCUUCAGUUCUGUCCUAGGUCCUCAUUCUUUUUACAUCUAAACUCUCCUCCUUUCCCUGUCUGGGCUCCUUGGUGAACCAUAUACUGUCCUUUUGAGUACCUGGCCCCUUUAUUUUAUCUCUAAUUGUGCCCUGCCAAGCCUCAACUUUGGAUCACUCCUACCAUCACUUCUUAUUGCUAGGUACAAGCCCAAGCACCAAGUACCUAUUAGCAAAAAUGAAGAAGGCAAUUCAGGAAAUUUUGGGAGUAUUUGUUGCCCCCCCAAAUUCUCAAAUUACCCAGAAAUCUAUUUCAAUUCUCUGUUUUACUUAGUUAAAGGAAAUCAAUAAACAUUAUUAUUAAAGAAAAACCA